rnacentral:misc_RNA from 1 species
UUUCCGUAGGUGAACCUGCGGAAGGAUCAUUAUUGAAUGAACUUGGUGUGGUUGUUGCUGGCCCUUUCGGGGGCAUGUGCACACCCAUCAUCCUCAUCUCUCCACCUGUGCACCUCUUGUAGACCUGGAUUGACUUUCCGAGGCAGCUCGGUCGGGAAGAUUGCUAUGCUCUGUGAGCCAGCUUUCUUUGCAUGUCCAGGACUAUGUUUUUCAUAUACCCCUAUAGAAUGUAACAGAAUGUAUCAUUGGGCCUUGUGCCUAUAAACCUUAUACAACUUUCAGCAACGGAUCUCUUGGCUCUC